CCCCAGACUCCUACGGGAGGCAGCAGUGGGGGAUAUUGCACAAUGGGGGAAACCCUGAUGCAGCGACGCCGCGUGGGUGAAGAAGCGCCUCGGCGCGUAAAGCCCUGUCAGCAGGGAAGAAAAUGACGGUACCUGAAGAAGAAGCCCCGGCUAACUACGUGCCAGCAGCCGCGGUAAUACGUAGGGGGCAAGCGUUAUCCGGAUUUACUGGGUGUAAAGGGGGCGCAGACGGCGAUGCAAGCCAGGAGUGAAAGCCCGGGGCCCAACCCCGGGACUGCUCUUGGAACUGCGUGGCUGGGGUGCAGGAGAGGCAAGUGGAAUUCCUAGUGUAGCGGUGAAAUGCGUAGAUAUUAGGAGGAACACCAGUGGCGAAGGCGGCUUGCUGGACUGUAAAUGACGCUGAGGCUCGAAAGCGUGGGGAGCAAACAGGAUUAGAUACCCGGGUAC
rnacentral:rRNA from 1 species